rnacentral:piRNA from 1 species
UGUACAUCUUUUUUUUUAGUU